UACAGAGGGUGCUAGCGUUGUUCGGAAUCAUUGGGCGUAAAGGGCGUGUAGGCGGUUUGUUAAGUCAUGUGUGAAAUCCCUCGGCUCAACCGGGGAACGACGCAUGAAACUGGCAAGCUAGAGUACCGAAGAGGGGGGUGGAAUUCCCGGUGUAGCGGUGAAAUGCGUAGAUAUCAGGAGGAACACCGGUGGCGAAGGCGGGUCUCUGGGCCGAAACUGACGCUGGAGGAGCGAAAGCGUGGGGAGCAAACAGG
rnacentral:rRNA from 1 species